rnacentral:lncRNA from 10 species
GUCGCAGCCCCGGAGGAGCGCGCGAGCAGCCCGGGAUGGUGCGCGCUGCCCCGACAGCCGCCGCCCCGGCGCCCCGAGCCGCCGCCCCGUGCUCCGGGGACAGGGCUCCCCGCGCCCCGCGCAGCUGAGCGCUGCCGCCGCCGCAGCAGACAGGAUCUCUCUCAGUUACCCAGGCCGGAGUGCAGUGGCGUGAUCCUAGCUCACUGCAGCCUUGAACCCCUGGGCUCAAGUGAUUCUCCUGCCUUGGCCUCCUGAAUAGCUAGAACUACAGAUGAUGAAAUGGAAUUGGAGCCGCUGAGCUGGAUAGGUGAAGGCACUAAUGAUGAAGGAAAAAUAGAUCAACAGUACAAAUUCUGAAGUUUGUAAACUUGCUGAUGGUGGUGGUAAGCCAUGGCAGAUGAUAAAGUUGCUAUCUUAACGGAUGAUGAAGAGGAACAGAAGAGAAAGUAUGUGCUUGCAGAUCCCUUUAAUGGUAUUUCCAGGGAACCAGAACCACCUUCGAAUGAAACACCUUCCU